CAGCAGCCGCGGGAAAACGUAGGGUGCAAGCGUUAAUCGGAAUUACUGGGCGUAAAGCGUGCGCAGGCGGUUAUAUAAGACAGAUGUGAAAUCCCCGGGCUCAACCUGGGAACUGCAUUUGUGACUGUAUAGCUAGAGUACGGCAGAGGGGGAUGGAAUUCCGCGUGUAGCAGUGAAAUGCGUAGAUAUGCGGAGGAACACCGAUGGCGAAGGCAAUCCCCUGGGCCUGUACUGACGCUCAUGCACGAAAGCGUGGGGAGCAAACAGGAUUAGAUACCCCGGUAGUCCCUGUCUCUUAUCC
rnacentral:rRNA from 1 species